UACGGGGGGGAGCAAGCGUUGUUCGGAUUUACUGGGCGUAAAGGGCGCGUAGGCGGUCAGCACAAGUCAGUUGUGAAAUCUCCGGGCUUAACUCGGAAAGGUCAACUGAUACUGUGCGACUAGAGUGCAGAAGGGGCAACUGGAAUUCUCGGUGUAGCGGUGAAAUGCGUAGAUAUCGAGAGGAACACCUGCGGCGAAGGCGGGUUGCUGGGCUGACACUGACGCUGAUGCGCGAAAGCGUGGGGGAGCAAACAGG
rnacentral:rRNA from 1 species